rnacentral:lncRNA from 1 species
UUGAUUACGUCCCGAUUGUUAAAAGAAAUGUUAAAAUUAAUAAAAUUGUCAUAUCAGUGCCGUCACGCCCCGAAUUCCUCGUUUCUCCGGGUACGCUAACAGAUCCGACGUAUAUAAAGAAAUUUUUCCUGUAUACGAAGCGAAUCUGUACAUGUACUUGCAAUCAUACAAUAUUACAACCAGUAGUAUAGAGAUGCUAGAAAAGAAUAAAA